UACGGAGGAUGCGAGCGUUAUCCGGAUUUAUUGGGUUUAAAGGGUGCGUAGGCGGCCUGCCAAGUCAGCGGUAAAAUUGCGGGGCUCAACCCCGAACAGCCGUUGAAACUGCCGGGCUCGAGUGGGCGAGAAGUAUGCGGAAUGCGUGGUGUAGCGGUGAAAUGCAUAGAUAUCACGCAGAACCCCGAUUGCGAAGGCAGCAUACCGGCGCCCUACUGACGCUGAGGCACGAAAGUGCGGGGAUCAAACAGG
rnacentral:rRNA from 1 species